GACGAACGCUGGCGGCGUGCUUAACACAUGCAAGUCGAACGGAAAGGCCCUGCUUUUGUGGGGUGCUCGAGUGGCGAACGUGUGAGUAACACGUGAGUAACCUGCCCUUGACUUUGGGAUAACUUCAGUAAACUGGUGCUAAUACCGGAUAGGAGCUCCUGCUGCAUGUUGUGGGUUGGAAAGUUUCGGCGGUUGGGGAUGGACUCGCGGAUUAUCAGCUUGUUGGUGGGGUAGUGGCUUACCAAGGCUUUGACGGGUAGCCGGCCUGAGAGGGUGACCGGCCACAUUGGGACUGAGAUAAGGCCCAAACUCCUACGGGAGGCAGCAGUGGGGAAUACUGCACCAUGGGCGGAAGCCUGAUGCAGCAACGCCGCGUGCGAGAUGAAGGCCUUCGGGUUGUAAACCGCUUUCGCAUGUGACGAAGCGUGAGUGACGGUAAUGGGUAAAGAAGCACCGGCUAACUACGUG
rnacentral:rRNA from 1 species